rnacentral:pre_miRNA from 1 species
CUUUUAGUGUAAGUAUGUCCCAUGACAUAUUCGGGACAUACUUACCCUAAAA